UCCUCUCACGCAGACAACAACGAACAUCAAGCAAGCUAGCUCGAUUACCUCUGUUUAAUCGGUUGCUGGCCGAAAGCAAAGCACACGCACGUAUACACACAGUGGCACACGUACACAUGAAAAAUCGAUUGGAGUUUGGAUAGCCAAAGGCCCGUAUCGAUCCUUGCUUUUUGCUUUUUCCACGCGUACUGUUACCUCAUCGGUGGUCGCCGGAUCCGCGUUGCGGCAGCCGCUGCUUGCUAAUCCAGGCGGCUGGUUUGUCUACCGACGGCAAGCGAAGCGGUGAUAGGGGCUGUGUAGGUUGGUGGUGUUUUGGAUGGUGGAAUGCGCCGGCGAAAGCAUUGGGGCCGUUGGUCGGCUUGGCGACGGCGACGUCUUUGGGCGCCGCUCCCGUCCUUGGAGGCGUCGUUAUGGUAAUUCCAACAUACUUCUCUCCAGGUGAAAACCUUGCAGGGAUUAAUCGGACGGGCGGCGAUGGUGUUCCACACGCAAAACUCCUCUGGGGCGCCGCUUUGAAGUGCCUUCUUGCGCGGCUGUGGCCGUGUCUGAUUUUCACACAUCAUCCAUUGCUCUGCUCUCGUGGUUGUGGCCAGGAUCCAGCGAGCUCGAUUGCUCGGCUCCUUGAUUCUUCUUCACCCUAUCUACUUGGUUGAUGAUGGCUGCAUUCGUCAGUUGCCCUCCCUCCUUUGGGGCUUCCUUCCCUCACAGGGCGUUGGAGGGAGCUCGACAUAAUGGCAAAUUGGAAAGCCAGCCCCUGCUCUGGCUUGAUGCAGGCAGCCUUGUCAACCACUGCCACGGGAUAUCAUCGGCAAGGUCAGUGGAGCGCGGCAGUUGGCUGCAAAUUGACUAAGCUUUGGUGUCCUCCAGUCAGUCGUGGAUGGGUGUUUGUGUGUUCGGUACGUGUUGUCUUUUGUGAUUUCUACGCCUGUUUGAAGCCAGGUUGGUCAGGCCAGGGGGCUCGUUCUCAUUAGGCGGUCUUCCCCCCUUCCAGCUUUCUCACAUUUCUCCCUUGAUGAUGGGUGUCAGAGAGCAUCAACAAGAGUGGCAACCAGACGGUCAUGGUGUGUGGAAGUUUCCCUCACCUUGGUUAGAUGAAUACGGGGGUUGAAGGUCAUAAAUGUAUAGUGCGAAUGCGGCAAGUAAGAAGCUUGGUAUUUGAGUAGACCAAUGAUUGGAAGAUUACUCUUAGGUUGGGCUUGAAAGUUGAUAUGUGCCCUUCCUUCUGUUCUGUAUUUUCUCUUUUCGGCCUUGCCGACCUCAUUUUUUUCUCCUUGGUUUGCCGAGAUGAUUUGUGUAACUUCAUUGUAACUGUCCCUUCCUAGGGUCCUUUCGAUAAAUGAAAAAGUAGGUACGUAUCCCCGCCCC